rnacentral:hammerhead_ribozyme from 1 species
AUCCAGCUGAUGAGUACCAAAUAGGACGAAGCGGCGUGCGUUCUGGAU